rnacentral:rRNA from 1 species
AGCCGAGCGGUAGAGUCCUUCGGGACUUUGAGAGCGGCGUACGGGUGCGUAACACGUGUGCAACCUACCUUUAUCAGGGGAAUAGCCUUUCGAAAGGAAGAUUAAUACUCCAUAAUAUAUUGAAUGGCAUCAUUUGAUAUUGAAAACUCCGGUGGAUAGAGAUGGGCACGCGCAAGAUUAGAUAGUUGGUGAGGUAACGGCUCACCAAGUCAAUGAUCUUUAGGGGUCCUGAGAGGGAGAUCCCCCACACUGGUACUGAGACACGGACCAGACUCCUACGGGAGGCAGCAGUGAGGAAUAUUGGACAAUGGGUGAGAGCCUGAUCCAGCCAUCCCGCGUGAAGGAUGACGGUCCUAUGGAUUGUAAACUUCUUUUGUAUAGGAAUAAACCUACUCUCGUGAGAGUAGCUGAAGGUACUAUACGAAUAAGCACCGGCUAACUCCGUGCCAGCAGCCGCGGUAAUACGGAGGGUGCAAGCGUUAUCCGGAUUUA